rnacentral:rRNA from 1 species
UAUCUGAACCUUCGGGGAACGAUAACGGCGUCGAGCGGCGGACGGGUGAGUAAUGCCUAGGAAAUUGCCCUGAUGUGGGGGAUAACCAUUGGAAACGAUGGCUAAUACCGCAUAAUACCUACGGGUCAAAGAGGGGGACCUUCGGGCCUCUCGCGUCAGGAUAUGCCUAGGUGGGAUUAGCUAGUUGGUGAGGUAAUGGCUCACCAAGGCGACGAUCCCUAGCUGGUCUGAGAGGAUGAUCAGCCACACUGGAACUGAGACACGGUCCAGACUCCUACGGGAGGCAGCAGUGGGGAAUAUUGCACAAUGGGCGCAAGCCUGAUGCAGCCAUGCCGCGUGUGUGAAGAAGGCCUUCGGGUUGUAAAGCACUUUCAGUCGUGAGGAAGGUAGUGUAGUUAAUAGCUGCAUUAUUUGACGUUAGCGACAGAAGAAGCACCGGCUAACUCCGUGCCAGCAGCCGCGGUAAUACGGAGGGUGCGAGCGUUAAUCGGAAUUACUGGGCGUAAAGCGCAUGCAGGUGGUUUGUUAAGUCAGAUGUGAA